UACAGAGGUCUCAAGCGUUGUUCGGAUUCAUUGGGCGUAAAGGGUGCGUAGGUGGCGCCGUAAGUCGGGUGUGAAAUUUCGGAGCUUAACUCCGAAACUGCAUUCGAUACUGCGGUGCUUGAGGACUGGAGAGGAGACUGGAAUUCAUGGUGUAGCAGUGAAAUGCGUAGAGAUCAUGAGGAAGACCAGUGGCGAAGGCGGGUCUCUGGACAGUUCUGACAUGAGGCACGAAGGCCAGGGGAGCAAACGGG
rnacentral:rRNA from 1 species